UUGACAGUGAUGUCAAGGGUGGAGGAAGUGGUGUAGCAAUUCUUUUGAGCGUACGAACAGAAACUUGAUAUAAGGCUAAAUGGUGGGUAAGGUUGCAUUGCAAACCGAAGCCCAAACGAUAGACGUAAAACCAAGACAGUAAAUUAAGACGUUGUGAAAGAAAUAGGAUUCAU
rfam:Eubacterium dolichum DSM 3991 E_dolichum-3.0.1_Cont629, whole genome shotgun sequence.